rnacentral:rRNA from 1 species
UUAGUGGCGCACGGGUGAGUAAUGCAUAGAUAAUGUGCCCCUUAGUUCGGGAUAGCCACUGGAAACGGUGAUUAAUACCGGAUACUCCUUCUUGUUAUAAGACAAGUCGGGAAAGUUUUUCGCUAAGGGAUCAGUCUAUGUUCCAUCAGCUUGUUGGUGAGGUAAUGGCUCACCAAGGCUAUGACGGAUAUCUGGUUUGAGAGGAUGAUCAGACACACUGGAACUGAGACACGGUCCAGACUCCUACGGGAGGCAGCAGUGAGGAAUAUUGCACAAUGGAGGAAACUCUGAUGCAGCAACGCCGCGUGGAGGAUGACGCAUUUCGGUGUGUAAACUCCUUUUAUUAGGGAAGAUAAUGACGGUACCUAAUGAAUAAGCACCGGCUAACUCCGUGCCAGCAGCCGCGGUAAUACGGAGGGUGCAAGCGUUACUCGGAAUCACUGGGCGUAAAGGGCGCGUAGGCUGGCUUUUAAGUCAGAUGUGAAAUCCAAUGGCUCAACCAUUGAACUGCAUUUGAAACUGAAAGCCUAGAGUUCAGAAGGGGCAGAUGGAAUUAGUGGUGUAGGGGUAAAAUCCGUAGAUAUCACUAGGAAUAUCAAAAGCGAAGGCGAUCUGCUGGGAUGAUACUG